CCUGAAGUUGCUUACGUACUGGAUGUUUAUCCUCUCAGCCCCUUUUCACUUCUCUUUCCUCUCUCUCUCUACUUAGUAAACAAUUAAGAGAAAAGGGAUUACCUUUGCUGCUGGAACUGAAGCAGACCUUGGGGAAGCCUUCAAUCCAGCCUGGUGGCUUGCGGGUUGAGGAGGAGGUUUUGAUCCGAGCAGGAUUCCUACUGAUGGAGUUGUGAACUAAGAUUUAAAGGAAAUCUCUGCAGUGGAUGCUGCCGAAUUGGAGGAUUAGAUCGUUUGAAGCUUAAGGCUUGUGGGAUGCUGCCGAACUGCAGGAAAUUAGGCUAAUUGAAGCUGUUAAGUGGAAGUCCAGCUGAGAAUAAUUCAUAAAAGGGGUUCAUGGUUGCUGAAAUUUCAUAUUUCAGAAUUGGGGAAUUUUGGGAAUUAAAAUUUGGUGGAGUUGAUGCAAUAAUUAAACUGCUUGUGACCCGAAUUGUGAAGAACCUGGUAGAGCUCGGAAAUGAGGAAUUGGAAAAAAGGAAAAAGAAGUUAAGUGCUGAAAUUCCUGUAGUAAGG